rnacentral:siRNA from 1 species
AGCCACCAACUCCAUCCAUCGCCU